rnacentral:lncRNA from 1 species
AGGGGAGAGGGGGGAGGAAUUGCAUUGGGGAGUUAUACAUGAUAUAAAUGAUGACCAUUUAAGGUCACAUCUAUAUUCUGUGUUUAGAAGGGAUCAGAAAAAGCAAAUUUGGGUGUUUUUGAUACUCUCCUCAUUGCAGGAUUUGAAAUGUGCUCUUCUCAUGGAUGAGGUAUAUGGGUAAAUAAAAAUGUUAUUUAUUUGCAUCUGUGUUCAUUGACCUUUGGACAAUAUUUUAUUUAGUAAUAAUUAGUCUUAUAAGGAGAUAAUACUGAUUAUAAAAUGGACUGAUUUUCAUUCAUGAAGUUGGCAAGUUUUCUUAGUACUAAUGUGAGACAUUUUCAAUUUUGUUUUUUAGAUCUAAAUCAGAAGGUAGCACUCAGACAUAUGCCAGCCAAUCCAUCUCAGAAGGCAGCACUGAGACAUAUGCCAGCCAAACCAGAUCAGAAAGCAGCGGUCAAGCUGAUACUAGCAAAUCCAAAUCAGAAGAUAGUACCCAAGCAUAUACUAGCAGAUCCAAAUCACAGGAAAGUACCCAAACACAAAGCAGUAGUAACUAGUGGUUCCUUCAGAAGGCAACGGAUAACAUCGAGAGUCUCGCUAAGAAAUGAAAAUUCUGUCUUUCCUUGCGUGGUCACAGCUGAAAGAAACAAUAAAUUGAGUGUGGAUCAAUUUGCAUGCC